CCCAGAUAGCAUUCAGACGUUGGCCCAACGUCGGCAAUGGUUGGCAGUGUCGCGGUCUGAUUUUAUACGUUGGCCCAACGUUGUUACAACGUUAGGUCGCAUUUCGGAAAUUAUUUCCAAGGGGCGCUACUCGUAAUUGACAGCUUCACUAAGAGGGCGCUGCGUUUUUUGCGCCUCUCAACGAGCAGACGACGAGACACAAGCACACGUUCGAUCAUCGGAAUACUGUUUUCCUCGAAUAUAUGGAGGUGGAGUUUACAGUAUUGUGGAAGCAUAUUUGUUUACAUCACAUCACAGCCAGAAAGUUACCAAGGCACACGGACCGUGGAUACAGUUGAAGAUCAUCCCUGUGUUAAGUUCUUCUGACAUCUGAGGAUUGAAAAGGCUCCUCAACCACUCAGCCCAAGUUCUGAUUUGUCAUGUAACAAAUAAAUAAAGGUCACCGAAACCA
rnacentral:lncRNA from 1 species